GCCAUCCUGUUAGAAGGUAACAGAUUAUUUUAUUACAAUGGUUAAAUUGGAUUUUCAUUGUGUUCAAUGGUGUUAUUUGCCCCCUAGUGGCGCUUUCUGGUACUUAGAAAGACAACGCAAACAGGAAGUACAGAAUUAGUUUUGCACGCAUAGAAGCAGCUACAAACAACGCUACGGUGCAGGUCUUUCAAUGUAGUUAUUUCUUGUCACGCUUCAGCCUUGGAAAAAUAUUUGUUUGUAAGUUCGAUUCAAGCAUUUAGCUAAUGAUGAUAAUCUUGUUAUUGAUAGAGUUUCUUACAUAUCAAUGUUGGUUGCAUUUACUCACAAAUUGCAAUGCCUUUAAUGUAUGUCGUUAGCUGUAUUACUUUGCUCAUGCGUCAUGCAAACGAAUUGUAAAAUAUACAAUACUGUAGUUUUGUUACUGUUUCUAGUGUAAUAUGCGUUGUUAUUCUACAUAGAUGGUUAUACAUUAUUAGAGUAAUGAAAGGAGCAAUUACCAUAUGGUUAACAAUUAGCUAUAUGGUUUGGCAUCAUGCCAGAUGCAUGGUACCUUAGCGCGUGCUUUGUAUUUAUGCAACUUCAAAUGUUUUAUGUACAGCUACAGUAUGUCGGUGUGAAUUGAACACUAAAGUAUAUUCUUUUCUGUAUUUUGCAGUUUCACAACAUAAACGUUUUCAAUAUAUUCAUUCAAGAAAAGUCACGCCUUGGGAGUUUUAUUGAAGACUUAGUUGUUAGCUAUCUGUCUAGUUUUGCAUGGGAACGCAACUCAAGGGCAGAAUAGUGAAAAAACAUCAUCACAGCGGGCUCAAGCACAAGAAUAACUGCACACGGUGGUUAUGUUUCUACGUUCAUCAGCCAACAAAGCAAAGCCUCUUAUCCUAGGGAAGACCAGCAGUCUACGAUGCAACAACCAGAACCAGGUGUUCAACAGAGAGAGAUGGAAGAGCCUCUUCAGCACAUUGGGACCAAGUCUCAAUCUACAAGAUCAAGGUCAUCAAAACAGUCAAGCAGAUCCUCAACGGCGAGUUCUGCAGCCGUCAAAGCACGCGCCAAGGCAGACGCAGCACGCGCACAAGUCUCUUAUGCUGAGAAGGAAGCUUCUGUGAUGAAACAAAAGGCAGAAAUAGAGGCCAGCUUGUUGAAGCAAAAAGCUGACCUCGAGGCAAGUUUAUAUGUUCUCCAAGUUGAGAGAACAGCUGCUGCUGCGUUGGCUGAAGCUGCAGCCUUUGAAGAAGUUGUAGGAUCAGAACGCAGAGAGCUUCGAAAAGAACUAGACACCGGGACACAGCCCUUAAGUCCAGUCCAACGUACAUGUGAGUAUGUGCAACAACCUGCUAGGCCCUAUUUUGCUGAACUUCCAUUUGAAGUGGAGAAACAAGAGCUUAGUGUUGACCCAGCUACAUGCCAUAAUCCAGAAAGUAGCAAACAACAGAACAUGAGCAGAGACUCUCCGUUCAAAAGAAAUGAACAGCAGCAUGGUGGAAAUGGAAAGCAAGCCCACUUCCAGUCACACACACACAACUUCCCUGAGUCACAAGUGGCACCAGACCUCACGAAGUACCUCCUACGACGUGAGAUGGUGAGUUCAGGACUCCUGAAGUUUGAUGAUCGCCCUGAAAAUUAUUGGGCAUGGAAAGCAUCCUUUCUCAAUGCGACCAGAGACUUGAAUUUGUCAGCCAGGGAAGAGUUAGAUCUAAUUACCAAGUGGCUAGGGGCAGAGUCGUCUGAGCAAGCAAACAGAAUUAGAUCUGUCCAUAUUUUCAACGCAACAGCAGGGCUUAACAUGGUCUGGCAACGACUAGAAGAGUGCUAUGGUACACCCGAAGUGAUCGAGAAUGCACUGUUGAAGAAAAUGGUUGAUUUUCCAAAACUGGCUAACAAAGACAAUCACAAACUAAGAGAACUAGGUGACAUUCUUCUCGAAUUGGAGUGUGCUAAAGUAGAAGGGUACCUUCCAGGCCUCGCUUAUCUGGACACAUCUCGGGGGGUAAACCCUAUUGUAGAGAAACUUCCAUUCAGUUUACAAGAAAAAUGGAUAGCACAGGGAUCCAAAUAUAAGGAGGACUAUCGGGUAGCAUUCCCACCAUUCUCGUUCUUCUCGCGAUUCAUCAGGAACCAGGCAAAAAUUAGAAAUGACCCCAGCUUCACCCUCUACACCUCAACUAACCAGGUGUCCAUGAAAAGUGAGAAACCUGCCAGGUACAGCAGCAAGACACCUGUGACUGUAUACAAGACAGAUGUGUCAUCUGAGGCCUCAGACCACCAAACCAAACCCAGUAAGACAAAGGUUGAAAACCCUGACCGUCACUGAACAAUACAUAACAAGCCUCAUCCUCUUAAAAAGUGUUGUGGGUUUAGAUACAAAACUCUAGAUGAGCGCAAAUCAUAUCUCAAAGACAAUGGCAUUUGUUUCCGAUGUUGUGGGUCAACUCAGCACAGAGCUAAAGACUGUAAGGUUUCAAUCAAGUGCUCUGAGUGCGACAGCGACAGGCAUCUUGCUGCUCUGCAUCCAGGCCCAGCCCCUACAAAUACAUACACCGCUGCAGCAGAGACAGAUAAUGGCGGGGAGCAAGGUGACGAUGCUCUUCUAUCUGUCACCUCAAAGUGUACAGAGAUCUGUGGUGAGGCAGUCAAUCCAAGAUCAUGUUCAAAAAUAUGCUUAGUCAAAGCUUAUCCGGCUGGGAAAAGAGAGAAAGCUGUCAAAAUGUAUGUAGUGCUUGAUGAACAGAGUAACAAAUCUCUGGCCAAGACAGAGUUUUUCAGUCUCUUCAACAUCAAUGACAUCUCUGCUCCAUACACCAUGAAGACGUGUUCUGGGGUAACAGAAACCACAGGCAGGAGAGCCGUCAACUUCAUGGUGGAGUCUAUAGAUGGACACAUGCAGCUCACUCUCCCUACUCUGAUAGAGUGUGAUAUGAUGCCAGACGAUAGGAUGGAGAUUCCCUCCCCCGACAUUGCGUAUCAUCAUCCCCAUCUGCAACCAGUUAUGGACAGAAUUCCAGCUGUGGACCCAGACGCUCCCAUCCUCCUGCUCUUAGGACGAGACAUCUUAAGGGUACACAAGGUACGAGAGCAAAUCAAUGGGCCCCACGACACUCCUUAUGCACAGCGACUCGACCUCGGGUGGGUCAUUGUGGGUGAGGUCUGUCUGGGAACGGCUCACCGACCAGCCAAUGUUAACGUGUUCAGGACAAACAUACUUCAAAAUGGUCGCACAUCCUAUCUGAGCCCUUGCCCUGACAUCAUCCAGGUAAAAGAGAACUACAACAGCGUAGCUCAGAAACACAUCUCUCCCUCUACAGUGCACUCGAGAGAUCCAAUCACAACUGUGAACACAGACAGCCUGGGAUGUUCCGUGUGUGUUCGACAAAACACAAGACGAUGAUAAACCAGCACCAUCAGUGGAGGACAAAGCCUUCUUGGACAUUAUGGACAAACAGGUUUUCCAGGAUGAUGGAAACAACUGGGUGGCUCCACUACCCUUUCGCCCCAAUAGACGUCGCCUUCCUAAUAACAGGGAGCAGGCCAUGAACCGUCUCACAUCACUUCGCAGGACUUUAGACAAAAAGCCUGACAUGAAGCGUCAUUUUAUUGACUUCAUGCAAAAGAUGCUGGAUAACGACCAAGCCGAACCUUCACAGCCACUAGAGGGAGACAAAGAACGUUGGUAUCUGCCCAUAUUUGGUGUUUACCAUCCACAAAAGCCUGAACAAAUACGAGUAGUAUUUGACUCCAGUGCUAAGUGUCAAGGCGUGUCACUUAACGAUGUUCUGCUCAGUGGUCCAGACUUAAACAACACACUCUUGGGUGUCCUAAUGCGUUUCCGCAAGGAUUGCAUUGCACUGACAGCAGAUGUGCAACAAAUGUUUUACUGUUUUGGUGUACGUGAGGAUCACAGAGAUUACUUAAGGUUUCUCUGGUAUGAAGACAACAACCCACAUAGAAACAACUGAGUACAGGAUGAAAGUACAUGUAUUUGGAAACAGCCCUUCACCAGCCGUAGCCAUCUACUGCAUGAGACGAGCAGCGCUACAGGGUGAGAAGGAACACGGGUCAGAACCCAAGCAAUAUGUAGUGAGGAACUUCUACGUCGAUGAUGGUCUGACAUCAGUAGCUACUACAGAAGAAGCUAUCAAUAUUCUAAGAAAAACACAAGCAAUGUUGGCGGAGUCCAACAUGAAACUACACAAGAUUGCAUCCAAUAGCAAAACAGUUAUGGAAGCCUUCCCUAUGGAGGACCGUGCAAAAGACUUAAAAGAUCUGGACCUAGGAGUGGAUCCUCUCCCCUUUCAACAGAGUCUGGGACUUUCCUGGAACCUGGAAACAGACAGCUUCUCAUUCCAGGUGUCCCACAAUGAGAAGCCUUUUACUCGGAGAGGCAUCCUGUCCACAGUGAAUAGUCUUUAUGACCCCCUUGGGUUCAUGGCUCCAAUAACAAUGCAAGGUAAAGCCUUAAUCAGAGAACUCUCUUCUGAUCAGAGUGAGUGGGAUGUCCCUCUUCCAACAGAAAAAGAUGAGAAAUGGAAACAGUGGAAGCAAGUCCAGUGUCUCGCUGACACCUUUUGGAAAAGGUGGAGACAGGAGUACCUGACAACGCUGCAGAGACGCAGAAAAUGGACAGCAGAAAAGCCAAAUGUAAAAGUGGGAGAUGUUGUCUUAUUGAAAGACAGUCAGGCACACAGAAAUGACUGGCCAGUCGGGCUUGUGGUAAAAACCUUUCCCAGUACAGACAAAAAGGUUAGGAAAGUAGAACUAAAAAUUGUCAAGCAAGGAGCUGCUAAGGUGUUUCUGAGAACAAUCUCAGAGAUUGUUGUUCUUCUUUCUGAAGCAUCCUAGAGACAAAAGAUAAAAAUAGAAAGGACAUUAUUUGUUUCUUGAUAUGUUUUAUUUAAUAGUGGCACAAUUUCAUUAUACCAGGCGGGGAGUGUGCUGCCAUCCUGUUAGAAGGUAACAGAUUAUUUUAUUACAAUGGUUAAAUUGGAUUUUCAUUGUGUUCAAUGGUGUUAUUUGCCCCCUAGUGGCGCUUUCUGGUACUUAGAAAGACAACGCAAACAGGAAGUACAGAAUUAGUUUUGCACGCAUAGAAGCAGCUACAAACAACGCUACGGUGCAGGUCUUUCAAUGUAGUUAUUUCUUGUCACGCUUCAGCCUUGGAAAAAUAUUUGUUUUUUCACAACAUAAACGUUUUCAAUAUAUUCAUUCAAGAAAA